CGUGAGGCCCUUUCUUGUGCAUGGAUAAUGAAGGGUCUUUAAACCUCGACCAUGACUAGAAAGAGCACUCACAUC
rnacentral:pre_miRNA from 1 species